UCCCUGGUGGUUCUGUGGCUAAGACUCUGUGCUCCCAAUGCAGGCAGUCCAGGUUCGAUCCCUGGUCGGGGAA
rnacentral:tRNA from 1 species